rnacentral:rRNA from 1 species
AGUGAACGCUGGCGGUAGGCCUAACACAUGCAAGUCGAACGGCAGCACAGUAAGAGCUUGCUCUUACGCCCGCCCCCCGCCGCCCGGGCCCCCCCCCCCUCGCCCUCUCCUCUCCCGCCCCGGCCCCCCCCGCCACCCCUCCGCCCCUCCCGCCUCCCCCCCACCGGUCCAACCCCGGGAUCUUCGGCCCUCGCGCGCUCCAAUCACCCGAGGUCGGAUUAGCUAGUGGGCGGGGUAAAGGCCCACCAAGGCGACGACCCGUAGCUGGUCUGAGAGGAUGAUCAGCCACACUGGAACUGAGACACGGUCCAGACUCCUACGGGAGGCAGCAGUGGGGAAUAUUGGACAAUGGGCGCAAGCCUGAUCCAGCCAUACCGCGUGGGUGAAGAAGGCCUUCGGGUUGUAAAGCCCUUUUGUUGGGAAAGAAAAGCAGCAGGUUAAUACCCCGCUGUUCUGACGGUACCCAAAGAAUAAGCACCGGCUAACUUCGUG